rnacentral:rRNA from 1 species
GAGUUUGAUCCUGGCUCAGAACGAACGCUGGCGGCGUGCCUAACACAUGCAAGUCGAACGUGAUCCAGAGCUUGCUCUGGUGAAAGUGGCGCACGGGUGAGUAACGCGUGGAUAACCUACCCUGGUAUCCGGGAUAACAUUCCGAAAGGGGUGCUAAUACCGGAUAAGCCCACGGGCUCUUUGGAGCUUGCGGGAAAAGGUGGCCUCUAUUUAUAAGCUACUGUAUCAGGAUGGGUCCGCGUACCAUUAGCUAGUUGGCGGUGUAACGGACCACCAAGGCGACGAUGGUUAGCUGGUAUGAGAGGAUGAUCAGCCACACUGGAACUGAGACACGGUCCAGACUCCCACGGGAGGCAGCAGUGGGGAAUUUUGCGCAAUGGGGGAAACCCUGACGCAGCAACGCCGCGUGAGUGAUGAAGGCCUUUGGGUCGUAAAGCUCUGUCAGAGGGGAAGAAAUGAUAUAGUGCUAAUACCACUUUAUCUUGACGGUACCCUCAAAGGAAGCACCGGCUAACUCCGUGCCAGCAGCCGCGGUAAUAC